CGUAGAUAUAUGGAAGAACACCAGUGGCGAAGGCGGCUGUCUGGUCUGCAACUGNCGCUGAGGCUCGAAAGCAUGGGUAGCGAACAGGAUUAGAUACCCUGGUAGUCCAUGCCGUAAACGAUGAGUGCUAGGUGUUGGAGGGUUUCCGCCCUUCAGUGCCGGAGCUAACGCAUUAAGCACUCCGCCUGGGGAGUACGACCGCAAGGUUGAAACUCAAAGGAAUUGACGGGGGCCCGCACAAGCGGUGGAGCAUGUGGUUUAAUUCGAAGCUACGCGAAGAACCUUACCAGGUCUUGACAUCUUGCGCUAACCUUAGAGAUAAGGCGUUCCCUUCGGGGACGCAAUGACAGGUGGUGCAUGGUCGUCGUCAGCUCGUGUCGUGA
rnacentral:rRNA from 2 species